rnacentral:rRNA from 1 species
CUACGGGGGGCAGCAGGCGCGUAACCUUUACAAUGCACGAAAGUGUGAUAAGGGGAUCCCAAGUGCUUAACAAUGUUAGGCUUUUGCUAAGUGUAAAUAGCUUGGCGAAUAAGGGGUGGGUAAGACUGGUGCCAGCCGCCGCGGUAACACCAGCGCCCCAAGUGGCAAUCACGUUUAUUGGGCCUAAAGCGUUCGUAGCAGGUUUUGACAGUCCUUUGUGAAAUCGGCAAGCUUAACUUGUCGGCGUGCAGGGGAUACUGCAAGACUCGAGACCGGGAGAAGUCAGGAGUAUUUCUGGGGUAACGGUAAAAUGUGUUAAUCCCAGGAGGACUACCAAUGGCGAAGGCACCUGACCAGAACGGAUCUGACUGUGAGGAACGAAAGCUAGGGGAGCAAAACGGAUUAGAUACCCCGGUAGUC